rnacentral:rRNA from 1 species
UACGUAGGGUGCGAGCGUUAAUCGGAAUUACUGGGCGUAAAGCGUGCGCAGGCGGUUUUGUAAGCCAGAUGUGAAAGCCCCGGGCUUAACCUGGGAAUGGCAUUUGGGACUGCAAGGCUGGAGUGUGGCAGAGGAGACUGGAAUUCCUGGUGUAGCAGUGAAAUGCGUAGAUAUCAGGAGGAAUACCGAUGGCGAAGGCAGGUCUCUGGGCUAACACUGACGCUCAUGCACGAAAGCGUGGGGAGCAAGCAGG